rnacentral:lncRNA from 1 species
CUUAGCUGGUCCCUCAGUAACCUCCAUCACUGCUCCUGGUUCUCGGAUGCUGGUAACAGACGUGUUGUUAUAAAGAGGGAGGCAGACCUCGAGGGCCCCCCACCAGAUUACUGCCCUUGAGUCUGGCACCCCAGCCCCUUGCUGUGUGUUCUCAGGCUAUUCCCUCCCUCUCUCUGGGCCAAGGGCCAGGGUCCUUAGAUAAUACUGGGUUUGAACCCCUGCUGUGUUUGUUCCACACAGACUCGAGAAUCCUGACCUCUCAGAGCCUCUGUUUUUCUAUCUUUGACGGGGAUGAUAGUACUCUCCUCCUGGAGUUGUUGGGAGGAUUCAGUGAGACAAAGCAUGCUAAGCAUUUAGCACCAUGCUUAGAACUUAUUAAGGGCUCAGUAAAUGGGGAGAGCUAUAAUCAUUUUAAGUGGAUUGCAUUUGAUGAUGUCAAGGCUUUGCUGAGCUAAACAUUCACUGAGUGCUUAACCACAGCUUUCUGCCAGAGCAUUUUUCUGAGUGCUUUACAUAUAUUAUCUCACUUAAUACUAAAAGCAAAUCCCUAUUCCCUUUUGCAAAUAAGGAACAGAAGCAUAGAAGAGUAUGAAGAUUGGUUGAGGCAGAAUUCAAACCCAGGUGGUCAGAAUCCCCGUACUCAUCAGCUCUGUACUAAUAGUAGUGGUUGAUUGAUAGUGAUAGUCCAAUGUCCCUUCCCUGUUUAGCAAACUCCUACUCAUCCCUCAAAACCCAGCUCAGAUGUCCCUUCUCUGGAAAGCCUUUCCUGGCACCCAUCCAGAAGAUGGGCCUCCAGGGACCCCAGCAUACAUCCCUGGCACAGAGGGAGUACCUGUUGACAAUUUUUCCUUCCACAAAUGGAUAGGGCAGGAAUUUUUUUCUUAGCCCUAUCCUUUCCUCUCCACCAAAUACUCUGCUUGGGCCUUCAUUCUGGUCUCCUGUGGGGCUCUGCAGGGGUCCCAAGGCACCUGAUUCCAGUUUCCCAGGAGCUGCUGAGUUACAUUACUUCACGAGGGCUAAUGCCUCACAUCUUCCUGGUGUCUUGCCAAACCCCCAUCCUUCCCUGGUGCCCAUUAAGGGAAAGGAAUUCAUGCCCACUGAGCCUGCAGUGGGCCAGGCCUUAAGCUGAGCGCUUCACACACUUUAGCUCAUUUUAUCCCACGCACAUCCUUGUGAGACCGUAUAUCUAUAGAAACCAAUGCCAACCAGCGAGGUGACUCUCAGAAUCUAAGGGAGGGGUGAACUUCCAGACUGUGGGCAGGGCUAGUGGGCCCAGGCACAGCUGGAACCAGGGACCCAAAUCCUGCCAGGACUGCUGACUCUCUCUCUCUCCUGCCUUUCUUUCCACAGACUAACUCUGCCAUGAGGAAGGACACGUGGCCGAUGACAACUCCUGAGCUUCUCAGCCCACAGCUGUUUUCUUAGUUCUGAUUCAAAAUAAAACUGAAUAGAACAGGGAAGGCUUCUGAUUGGCCUGGCUCUAAUCAGGUGUCCACCUGUGGGCCAGUCACGUGUAGCCAAGGGACAGGAUCAUGGAAGCCAGACAGCCCUUGCUGAACCAGAGUUUGGAGGAGAAGGAGAUCCCCAGAGAGGGAGAAGGCUGUCUGGAGAAAUUGAACAAAUGACAGAAAUAUGUCCACAACAGCCUGGGACUCCUGUUGUUGUCAUUUGACGGACAAGGAGACCGAGGCUCAGGGAGGGGUGUGACUUGUCAGUCACACGGCUCGUAAACGGUGGAGCUGGAUACAGACUGGGCUUCCGCCGAAUGUGUGCGUUAAGCCGGAGAGAUCCCCUUUGCAGAGCAAAGCUGAGUCUGAGCAGCCCUUCCAGGGGAACGUCCCGCCGCAGGGGGCACGGCGUGGUCCCCACCAGGGGAUGCGAUGAGACGGUUCACAGAACACGCCAGUUUAUAGAUCAGAGAGAUGGGUGCCGAGAGCGCCACACUGGAGACAUGCGCUGUAUAGGUGCACACUUGGCUCCUCUCCAUCUCGCACCCGAGCAGGCUCUUUGGCCUCCAGCUCUGUGCACGGAGGGCUGGGACAUGGAGUUCGGGGCUCACAGAAGCUGGUGACCUGGGUGGAGGCAUGGGGGUGAUGAACACUCAGGGAGACUCUGCCUGGGGCUGCAGGGAGGUGUGAGGGUCUGCAGAGUGGGAGCCAAACCGCCGCUCCUCCUGGAAAGUCACCUUCAAAAGCCUCCUCCUCCGAGAAGCCUUCCUGCCUCCUCUGCACGUCAUCGUCCGUCCUCUGAGCUCCCGCUCCCACCCCACCUUCUCCAUCACAGUGCCUCUUCCUGACUGUAGGCUUCUCCAGCACGGGCUGAGCCUCCCGUCUCUGCUCUUGGAAUUGCCCAAAAUGCUCCUGGGUACCAAAAAGACACGAGAGCUGUUUGCUGGGAGGAUGGAGGAACGAGUGAAUGUGGUGCAGGGCCCAGAGGCGCUGGCGGCCUCGGCAGCAGGGCCCCCUGCUGGCUGCAUCCACACUCCGCCCUGCCGCAGCAGAGAGAGGCGGCAGAGAAGGGACCUGUGCAGACUCCCUGAACAGAUCGGCUGCGAUGAACGCCGCUUUUGCACACACCCCCUGGUUGAGUCCUCUAACUGCUCUGGGAGGCCUGGAGAUAGGCCAAGGGGACAAAGCAGGCAGGGGCAGAACUGGGAAAGGAUCUCAGAAUGUCGGACUUCAGAGGCCAACUCAUUGCUGUGGUGCUCCCUCCACACCUCUCAGCCAGAUAUUGUGCCCUAGCCCGGCGGGGAGAGGGUCCGAGCUUGGCUUUGAGGCUUCCCCACCUGUGGCAUUGUCCUCCGCUCAUGCCUCCACUCUGGCUCCCCUGUCCCCCGCAGCACACACAGGCCUCCCUUGGAAAGCCCCUAACUCAGAGUCACACAGACCCAGGCUCAAAUUCCAGCUCCGCUGGACUCCCUGAAGCUCACUUUCCACUCUGAAGCUCAGUUUCCCUGUCUGUAACAUGGGAACAGUGACCUCCGCUAUCUCUGUGUCUCUAGACUGAGGAUUUCCCUAAGAAUGAGGAAAUGAGGGAAACAAGCUGGGCUCACCGAGAGUUAGAUGAAGAAAUUGGGACCUAGCGAAUCAGCAGAGGUGUGCAAAGUCACCUUAAAGGGCCAGCCCGACUCUGGGUCCUGCAGAAACUGACAGGCACUAGGUGAAAGUAUUGACCCAUCUAAAGUAGUAAAGCAUCCUCAGACAAAGCCGAGCCCCUCUGGCCCUGAGAUGCUGAGCUGGUCCAGGGAGAGGCAGUUCUGGCCACGGACCCAGUGGGCAAGCUGAGCCUGUGUCGAGACAGACAAGGUGGGUGUUACUGAUGGGCUGUGAGUAGUUCCUUUCCCCAUGACAGGAUGGUGCUCUGGAGACCUGGAUGUGGUGGCCGUCUUAGCCUGGGGCCUUUAACCCAGGGUCUCAGCCUCAAAUGUCUUUGCAGGGAGGCAGAUACAAGAGUGAGCCAGGAGUGUCAGAAAAGGCAGGGGUGGGGCCUGUGUCCAGCAUGGAUUGGAGGGCGCACACUUGCCUAAAGGCGUUCGGAAUCAAUGACUUUUAAAAACGAGAUGCCAGCCUGCAUCACUUGGGUCCCAACAGGAUGGUGCGCUUUAAUUAGGAGACUCUGGGCAGACAAGCAGGGCCUAGAGGAGCACGAGAGCGUGCAGGACUCUGGGCUCGUAGCCACAUAGCUCUCACUCCUCUAGGCCUGCAGGGCGAGGGGCGGGGAGGUGACCAGCACUCUGAUGGGGAGAGUCGCCUAGAGCAGAGGUGACCUCCUAGUGGAGGAGCUGGAGGGUGAAUACCUCACCCUCACUCUCUUCCCUCCCUCUCAUCUCCUGGCUCCCGGUUUACCAAAUCCCACAGGAACCGUGACUGUGGACUUUUAAAGGAACAAGAAUAAAC